rnacentral:rRNA from 1 species
ACGGAAGGCAGCAGUGGGGAAUAUUGCACAAUGGGCGCAAGCCUGAUGCAGCGAUGCCGCGUGAGGGAAGAAGGUUUUCGGAUUGUAAACCUCUGUCAACAGGGACGAAAAUGACGGUACCUGUGAAGGAAGCUCCGGCUAACUACGUGCCAGCAGCCGCGGUAAUACGUAGGGAGCAAGCGUUAUCCGGAAUUACUGGGUGUAAAGGGAGUGUAGGCGGGACUGUAAGUCAGAUGUGAAAUAUGCCGGCUCAACUGGCAGACUGCAUUUGAAACUGCGGUUCUUGAGUGUUGGAGAGGCUAACGGAACUCCUAGUGUAGCGGUGAAAUGCGUAGAUAUUAGGAAGAACACCAGUGGCGAAGGCGGUUAGCUGGACAAUAACUGACGCUGAGGCGCGAAAGCGUGGGUAGCAAACAGGAUUAGAUACCCUGGUA